GGCGUCCCGGCCCCAGCACCCGCGCUCCUCCCAGCCUCUCGAGGUUCUCGGGCGCCCGGGCCCCCAACCAGGCGGGCCCCAAACCCGGCCUCAGUGUCUUUUCCGGGAACCCAAGCACUCUCGCCCCUCGCCCCUCGCCCCUUAGUUCGGGGCCUUGGGUCCCGCACCCUCCCCCCACGGCCAGCAGGUCUUCGCGCAGCGCGGGGCUGGGACAAGCCGAAGGAGAGGCUGUGGACCCCGACUUGGGACGCCGCGAGAGCAGGGCUGAUGCGGGGCCUGGGCCGCAGCGCCCUCUGCUGGCUACCCCCAGGGGCGGGCCCGGGCUUCGAGGAGCCUAGAGAAGGGGGACUCGGUGGGUCCAUGGCUGCUGGGGGCUUUUUCCAGUCGGUAGCCUGGCCCCCACCUCCCACCGUCCGGAGGGCCCCUGGCUUGGAGCCCCCAGAACUGAAGAGGAAGGGGCUUUGCUGGGAUAAAGACGGAGGCGGUGGGGGAAGGAAAGGCAGAGAUGGGGGCGGGGUAGACCUAGGAACUUGGGGGUUUCCCAGUCCUGCCUCAUGGGAAUCCCAGAGUUUGAGGCCAAACUCUCAGUUCUGCCUGGAACCCUGGACCGAGGGUCUGUGAUCUGCACAGCUGGUGGUAGUUGGCACUUCCUUAGCCAGAGGCAACAUGCAAGAACACUUACAUUCAACCACCAAUGCAUGGACAUUGGGGCACUCACAGCCAUGCACACAUAUCUGUGAACACUGGGCAUUCCCAGAGACACAUAAGAACACCUGCAGAAAUGCCCCACCAUGGUAACACACCCACAGGAAGCAUAUACUGCCCAAGAACACACACACUUGUGCACAC
rnacentral:lncRNA from 1 species